rnacentral:rRNA from 1 species
AGAGUUUGAUCCUGGCUCAGGACGAACGCUGGCGGCGUGCUUAACACAUGCAAGUCGAACGAGGCACUUGUGCCUAGUGGCGAACGGGUGAGUAACACGUGAGCAACCUGCCCCUGGCUCUGGGAUAGCCUCCGGAAACGGGGAUUAAUACCGGACAUGACCUGCUGCGGCAUCGCGGCGGGUGGAAAGUUUUUCGGCCGGGGAGGGGCUCGCGGCCUAUCAGCUUGUUGGGGGGGUAACGGCCCACCAAGGCGACGACGGGUAGCCGGCCUGAGAGGGCGACCGGCCACACUGGGACUGAGACACGGCCCAGACUCCUGCGGGAGGCAGCAGUGGGGAAUAUUGCACAAUGGGGGAAACCCUGAUGCAGCGACGCCGCGUGCGGGAUGAAGGCCUUCGGGUUGUAAACCGCUUUCACCACAGACGAAGCGCAAGUGACGGUAUGUGGGGAAGAAGCGCCGGCUAACUACGUGCCAGCAGCCGCGGUAAUACGUAGGGCGCGAGCGUUGUCCGGAAUUAUUGGGCGUAAAGAGCUCGUAGGCGGCCUGUUGCGUCUGCUGUGAAAUCCCGGGGCUUAACCCCGGGCGUGCAGUGGAUACGGGCAGGCUGGAGGCAGGCAGGGGAGAACGGAAUUCCCGGUGUAGCGGUGAAAUGCGCAGAUAUCGGGAGGAACACCGGUGGCGAAGGCGGUUCUCUGGGCCUGUUCUGACGCUGAGGAGCGAAAGCGUGGGGAGCGAACAGGAUUAGAUACCCUAGUAGUCC